GAAAAUGGUCGCUGCUUCUUCUCUGGAACUUUGUCUGAGAGACUGGCUUGGUUCUGUGAUUCAUCAGAAAUAAGAAAAACAAACACUGUAAAUGGAGAACUUGAAAAACAGGUGGGCACCAUCUCCCCACCCAAGAGAAUGGAUCUAAAAGGAAAUUUGUUUAUGGAAUGAGGUUUUAAAAGGUGACCUGGAGAAUUUAGCAAAGAUGUAAAUAAACAACUCUUUCUUGGAUUGCAUUAGGCUUCAGAAUAAAUAUAUUAACCAGCUUCAGUCAAAGCCUGCCUAGAAUCUGACCUUGACAAGACCCAGCUCUGGUUGCUGCUCCCGUCCCUCCCCCAAACAGCAGGCAGUUAUCUCUGCAGCGGGGCUACCUCAAAGCAGCAGCUGGACUUCCCGCCCACGACGCAAAGGCAAGCACUUUAUUGAAUAGUUAAGAGCCUUUUCUCUGGAGUCAGACUGCCUGGGUUUGAAUCCCAUCUAUGCUACUGCAAGACACCUGACUGCUCUGUGGUUCAGCUCCGCAUCUGUGGAUGGCACUACCCAGAGUUGCUGUAAGGCUUAAAAUGGAAAACGCUCCCAAUGAGGCUCACAUAUCAUUAGAAAAGCCACAGGGGAAAGGAACAGCAGUUUAAAAUUCACAGCAGUUAAAUGAGGCAAGUAGGUGCAGAGUGGCAGUCCAGGCUGACCUUGCAUCUAUUGAUCACUCUGAGAGACAAAUCAAUAUGAUGAAUUCAAAGAUUCUCACUGGUGAUGCCAACUACAGUGAAAGACAUCCCCCUCCAGAAUGGCAAUUUAUAUUGUUGGCUGCUCCGAUAAAAACUUUACACAAGUUGUGGCUAUGAAGUGAUCAGAUUGAGCCUAAAAGAAGCAUCUGUACUCCAGCGGAGUCUCUGGGCCGUUCCUCGAAUGAAGACGAUGAGGUCUGCUAUAAGAGUGUGCUAGGAUUGAGACACAAUUGCUUACUGCUUAAAAGAGCUGCCUUUUUUAUUCUUUAAAAAAAUCACAUUCUGGAGGUAUGAGUCAUAUAGAAUGCUUGAGUCUUUGCAGAAAUAAUGAGCAUAUUAAAAUGAAUAUAUAGACUAAGAAAAAUGUAUUAGGUUAAAACAAACCUAGGGAGAAUGUUUAUUGGUUAUAAACAAAUGACUUAAACCUGAGAUUAGUUGAUGAUGUUAGAUUCCAGCAACCAGUAAUUUCACAAAUCCAUAUAUUUCAGAUGAAGCUUCCUGUAAAGAGUGCAUCAUCAGUGUACUCUUAAUUCAAUUCCAGCUACAUUUAUGGAUAUGUUUACAUUAAGAUAAAAGCCUGUGCCCAUCCAUUUCACACUGUAAACUAUAAUUUCCACUUCACUUCCUAUGCAGUCUCAAUGAGAGCUCUGUACUUAGUGUGCAUUCUGCUGACAAAAAAGAAACAUUAUUUCUUUCUAAAAUUUGUUUAAAGAAGGAGGAAUGGGAAACUACAUGGCAAGGAGACCUAUUUUUGCAUGAACUUGAAACUGGAGAAAGACCAAGUUAUAGAAUAAUAAAUUCUGAUUCUCUCAAAGUACCUCUGUGGCCUUGAGCUCAAGGAGAAAGUACACUUUCAACACUGCCUCCUCCUUAAAAAAUACCCAUAAAUAUUCCUACCAAGGGCUUUAGUCUACUGAGAUUGGAUUUCUUGGAUGUGUAAUCGGUAGUUUUACUAUAGAAGAAAACUUUCUUUCCUAAAAAGUGAGGAAAGCUUGUGGAAAUCUGGUUGUAAGGACUGUCUCUUCUCAUACCCCCAGAGUAUCAGGAGGACAGGUCCAAUUUUGUGGGACUUAGUGGCUUUGCAGGAGAGACCUCCAGCACUCUAAACUGCUUAAAUAUGUUAGCUUUCCUGCCAUUCACCUUUUCAUUAGUUCAGUUCCAUCUUUCCCUUCUGUAUCCCAAACUUAUUCACUGUAACUUUGGGCAAGUAAUUUCACAUCUAAAGAUGUUUUCUCCUCUGUUUAAUACAAACAAACUUAUAGAGAAUCUCAGUAAUUAGAAUAAUAAAAGAUUCCAAUACAGACUCUCUCUACCUUAAUACUUAGGCUACUGACUAGGCAACCUUUUAGAUUCUAGUCAUUCCCUCCAAUCCAUUCUACAACUGAUAAAUUUCCUAAGAUUAGCUCCCCUCUUGACUCUUUAAAAUCAACUUAAAAAUUUUAAAGUAAUUACCUUUAAUUUGGUCCUUUGCUACAUAAGACCCUUGCCCCAACUACAGGACAGCAAGCAUACUAUACUCAUUUCUGUUUUCUAGAUUUUCUGCAUGCUUUCCUCCUUCGCAGGGUACUUCUUUUUCAGUCUACCUAGUCUACCAAAUCCCCUUUCAACAUAAUGACUCCCCUAAUAACACUGGCCUUUUAGGCUACCUUUGGAAUUUCCUCAGCAGCAAUCAGUGCUAGCAGGCUGUUAGGUAGAAUUUACUUCGUAUUGCCAAGUAGUUGUGUCACAGCUACCGUGGUGCAAAUUGAGCAUGUCUCACUAAGUUGAAGAAUAAAAUUGUGGACAAAAAGGAGGAAGUUAGAGGAGUGUUUAAUAGAAGCAAGAAGAAAGAUAGCUCCUGGUGGUAGUGCAGGGGUCCUGAAAGUGACAUUCUGGAGUGUUUUCUUUGUUUUGGUCUUAUGUGGAUAAAUAGAAGUGGGCACUUGUUUAGUUACCUAGUUUAGUUACCUACCAUAGAUAGCUCUGUGCGUUUAGAAUAACCAGUUGGGGUUUAGGCUUCAUAAUGUAGAAUGUAAAGAAAAUGAGCUACUGAGUUCAAAGGAAACAGGUUAUUCUGCAUUUCUGUUUCUUAAAGUCAGCCCAGAUGUAGGGAGGAAUUGUUAACUAAGCAUAUUCUAUCUAAGCACUUUUCUUUCCUGAGAGUUAGGUUCUUAGCUCUUUAUCCCUUUUCCUGUGUUUGCAUUUACAUUUCUAAGUUUAACUGACUGUAUGGCUUGAAUUAGCUCUUAACUCCAAGUACAUGUUAUUUCCUUUGUAACCAGCCGACUGUAUCUUAGGCUGGCUAUGUAUAAGCCAGUAAACUAAACAGUCUUUUACAGUUGUUCUGUGGAUUUAUUCCUACCUUUCCAAAUACCAUGGAGACUUUCAGUCGGUAAAAAUUGCACCUUAAAAGCCGCUGUUUUUGUAUGAGGAGGUAUGAAAUGAAAAAAUCCUGUGUAUUCUUUCCCCUGAUAACUUUACAUACUACCAAAGAGUUGGAAAACUGAUGAGUGAGCAAUACGUAUUUUUCUUCUUAGUCUAGGCUAAGUUUUUGUCAACAGCAGGAUUAUAGCAAGCAGGGUUUGUCUUGUUCUUAAUUUUUACUUCAUUUAUUUAAAGCAGUUGAUUACAAAAAUGUAACCCCCCCCCUUUUUUAAAAAGGAAACAUGUCGUGAUAAAUGUCUCAAUUACCUCAAGGAAUGGAACCUGUACUUAUUUGAUUCUAAAUGUAUAUAAAGUGUUAACUUUGUCUCUUGUGCAUGAGUUUGCACCGUUUCUCUGAGGCGAUGUGUACUUUUGCUUUUACUCUUUUCCUCUUUGUUCACCCCAAGUUUGUUCUUCAAAACUGGUUUCUCCCAUACUUGUUUACCCCACUUUCCAAAUAAACUUCUGGCACUGUUAAACAAACAAAAAUAAAAAUAAAGUGUUAAUUUUAAUGUCAUCCUUAUUUACAUUAAGGUAAAAAAGAAAAGCUUAGCCUAAUAACACGUAAGUCUUGGCACAUAUUUUCUUUAAGAGUUGUACAUCUUGGGGUGAUGCCCACACUACUGGUUACAUACGCAAUGCACAGUUGUUAUGAACUUCUAUCAUCGCCAGUCUCCUUACACAGUGAUGUAUGGUGACUCCAGUACUUUAGAAAGCAAGCCAGUGGCAAACUAAGAUACAGCCUGAUGUUCUCUAGAUGGUCUGUAGCUAGAUGAAGAACAUGGAUGGUGACCCUUUGCCUACCCAGAGUACUGAUUAUGCAAUAGUGAAAUAAUCCUAUCCCUCAGGAAGAGCUCUACCUGAAAACCUAAUGAACUCAUUUCUCUGUUCUUUUUGAGUGAGAUAAACCUGGAGGGCAGCAUCAAUAGGGCUCUUUAAUUGGGCAGAGGUGGGUCACUCUGGCCAUGACCUGGGAGGGGGUGUAUCUCCCUUCCUGGCUCCUCUAUUAAACUCUGCUUCCUGGUUGCCAUAAAUUGAAUAGCUUUCUUCCUCCAUGGCAGGCCCUUCACCAUAUUGCUUCUGCCUUGGAGACAGUUGACAGUGGAUGGAAACCUCAAUAAACUGUGAGCCACAAUAAACCUCUUCUCAAAUUGAAGGUGUUGGGUAUUGUGUCUCGGCAACAAGGAAAGUGACUAAGACUGUGGAAACUUCUUUUUCAUAACCUUAAGAAGUGA